GUAAGCUGAUGGUACCUUGGUGCCGCCUUUGGCGGAGAAUUGGGAAGCCGGUGCAACGCCGGCGCUGCCCCCGCAACGGUAAGGGAGGGCGUUUCGACAAUAGACCACUGGGCCCAGACGGGUCUGGGAAGGUGUCAAAACGCAGGGUCACAUCAUCUGGCUCACCCCCCAAGUCCGGAAACCAGCCUUGGUGCAACGUCAAACC
rnacentral:ncRNA from 15 species